rnacentral:rRNA from 1 species
AAUGAACGCUGGCGGCAUGCCUAACACAUGCAAGUCGAGCGGAUGAAGGGGGCUUGCUCCUGGAUGCAGCGGCGGACGGGUGAGUAAUGCCCAGGAAUCUGCCUGGUCGUGGGGGAUAACGUCCGGAAACGGGCGCUAAUCUCGCAUCCGUCCAGAUGUAGAAAGUGGGGGGUCUUCGGACCGAACGCUUUCAGAUGAGCCUAGGUGGGAUUAGCUAGGUGGUGGGGUAAAGGGCUACCAAGGCGACGAACCGUAACUGGUCUGAGAGGAUGACCAGACACACUGGAACUGAGACACGGUCCAGACUCCUACGGGAGGCAGCAGUGGGGAAUCUUACGCAAUGGGCGAGAGCCUGAUACAGCCAUGCCGCGUGAGGGAAGAAGGUCUUCGGAUUGGAAAGCACUGUAAGUUGGGAGGAAGGGCAGUUAGUUAAUCCGUGACGAUUUUGACGGUACCGACAGAAUAAGCACCGGCUAACUUCGUG